ANGCGGUNCUUUNCAUGCAAGUCAUACGAGGGUUUUUAACUCAAGUGGCGGACGGGUGAGUAACACGUAAGAAUUUGCCUUUAGGAGGGGGACAACAACUGGAAACGGCUGCUAAUACCCCAUAUGCUUUCGAGUGAAAUGGAUUUUUCCGCCUAAAGAGAAGCUUGCGGCUGAUUAGCUUGUUGGUGAGGUAAUGGCUCACCAAGGCGACGAUCAGUAUCUGGUUUGAGAGGAUGAUCAGACACACUGGAACUGAGACACGGUCCAGACUCCUACGGGAGGCAGCAGUGGGGAAUUUUCCGCAAUGGGCGAAAGCCUGACGGAGCAAUACCGCGUGAGGGAUGACGGCCUAUGGGUUGUAAACCUCUUUUUUCAGGGAGGAAUAAAUGACGUGUACCUGAAGAAUAAGCAUCGGCUAACUCCGUGCCAGCAGCCGCGGUAAGACGGGGGAUGCAAGUGUUAUCCGGAAUCACUGGGCGUAAAGCGUCUGUAGGUGGUCCAAUAAGUCAACUGUUAAAUCUUGAGGCUCAACCUCAAAAUCGCAGUCGAAACUAUUAGACUAGAGUAUAGUAGGGGUAAAGGGAAUUUCCAGUGGAGCGGUGAAAUGCGUAGAGAUUGGAAAGAACACCGAUGGCGAAGGCACUUUACUGGGCUACUACUGACACUCAGAGACGAAAGCUAGGGUAGCAAAUGGGAUUAGAUACCCCAGUAGUCCUAGCCGUAAACAAUGGAUACUAGAUGUUGAACAGAUCGACCUGUGCAGUAUUAAAGCUAACGCGUUAAGUAUCCCGCCUGGGAAGUAUGCUCGCAAGAGUGAAACUCAAAGGAAUUGACGGGG
rnacentral:rRNA from 1 species